GACGAACGCUGGCGGCGUGCUUAACACAUGCAAGUCGAACGGAAAGGCGAUGCGCUUGUGCGUUGCACGAGUGGCGAACGGGGGUGUAAAACGUGAGUAUCCUGCCCUUGACUUUGUGGUAACACCAGGGGACUGGGGCUAAUACCGGAGAUGAGAUCCUGCUGCACGGGGUGGGUUGGAGAAUUUCGGCGGUUGGGGAUGGACUCGCGGCUUAUCAGCUUGUUUGUGGGGUAGGGACGUCCCAGGGCUUUGACGGGUAGCCCGCCUGAGAGGGUGACCGGCCACCUUGGGCCUGAGAUACGGACCAGUAUCCUACGGGAGGCAGCAGUCGGGAAUAUUGCGGAAUGGCCGGACGUCUGAUGUAGCAACGCUCCGUGCGUGAUGCCGGCCUUCGGGUUGUAAACCGCUUUGUCAUUUGACGAAGCCUGAUUGACGGUACUGGGUCAAGAAGCACCGGCUAACUACGUG
rnacentral:rRNA from 1 species